rnacentral:tRNA from 1 species
GGUUAUAGCUUAAUGGUAGAUCAUGUGAUUGGUAUGCACGAGGCCCUGGGUUCAAUCCUCAGCACCA